rnacentral:rRNA from 1 species
CCUACGGGAGGCAGCAGUGGGGAAUAUUGGGCAAUGGGCGCAAGCCUGACCCAGCAACGCCGCGUGAAGGAAGAAGGCUCUCGGGUUGUAAACUUCCUUUAAGAGGGAAGCGAAGAAGACGGUACCUCUUGAAUAAGCCAUGGCUAACUACGUGCCAGCAGCUGCGGUAAUACGUAGGUGGCAAGCGUUGUCCGGAGUUACUGGGUGUAAAGGGCGUGCAGCCGGGCUGACAUGUCAGAUGUGAAAUCCCGCGGCUCAACCGCGGAACUGCAUUUGAAACUGUCAGUCUUGAGUACCGGAGAGGUCAGCGGAAUGCGUGGUGUAGCGGUGAAAUGCGUAGAUAUAAGGAAGAACACCAGUGGCGAAGGCGGAUGACUGGACGGCAACUGACGGUGAGGCGCGAAAGCGUGGGGAUCAAACAGGAUUAGAUACCCCAGUAGUC